ACGCCCUAAACGACGUCAACUAGCUGUUGGGGUCUUCGGACCUUGGUAGCGCAGCUAACGCGUGAAGUUGACCGCCUGGGGAGUACGGUCGCAAAGAUUAAAACUCAAAGGAAUUGACGGGGACCCGCACAAGCGGUGGAUGAUGUGGAUUAAUUCGAUGCAACGCGAAAAACCUUACCUACCCUUGACAUGUCUGGAAUGCCGAAGAGAUUUGGCAGUGCUCGCAAGAGAACCGGAACACAGGUGCUGCAUGGCUGUCGUCAGCUCGUGUCGUGAGAUGUUGGGUUAAGUCCCGCAACGAGCGCAACCCUUGUCAUUAGUUGCUACGAAAGGGCACUCUAAUGAGACUGCCGGUGACAAACCGGAGGAAGGUGGGGAUGACGUCAAGUCCUCAUGGCCCUUAUGGGUAGGGCUUCACACGUCAUACAAUGGUCGGGACAGAGGGUCGCCAACCCGCGAGGGGGAGCUAAUCCCAGAAACCCGAUCGUAGUCCGGAUCGCAGUCUGCAACUCGACUGCGUGAAGUCGGAAUCGCUAGUAAUCGCGGAUCAGCAUGUCGCGGUGAAUACGUUCCCGGGUCUUGUACACACCGCCCGUCACACCAUGGGAGUGGGUUUUACCAGAAGUAGUUAGCCUAACCGCAAGGAGGGCGAUA
rnacentral:rRNA from 1 species